UGGGGAAUAUUGCACAAUGGGCGCAAGCCUGAUGCAGCCAUGCCGCGUGUGUGAAGAAGGCCUUCGGGUUGUAAAGCACUUUCAGCGAGGAGGAAGGUGGUGAGCUUAAUACGCUCAUCAAUUGACGUUACUCGCAGAAGAAGCACCGGCUAACUCCGUGCCAGCAGCCGCGGUAAUACGGAGGGUGCAAGCGUUAAUCGGAAUUACUGGGCGUAAAGCGCACGCAGGCGGUUUGUUAAGUCAGAUGUGAAAUCCCCGGGCUCAACCUGGGAACUGCAUUUGAAACUGGCAAGCUAGAGUCUCGUAGAGGGGGGUAGAAUUCCAGGUGUAGCGGUGAAAUGCGUAGAGAUCUGGAGGAAUACCGGUGGCGAAGGCGGCCCCCUGGACGAAGACUGACGCUCAGGUGCGAAAGCGUGGGGCAGCAAACAGGAUUAGAUACCCUGGUAGUCCACGCUGUAAACGAUGUCGAUUUGGAGGUUGUGCCCCUUGAGGCGUGGCUUCCGGAGCUAACGCGUUAAAUCGACCGCCUGGGGAGUACGGCCGCAAGGUUAAAACUCAAAUGAAUUGAC
rnacentral:rRNA from 1 species